rnacentral:rRNA from 1 species
UACGUAGGGGGCUAGCGUUGUCCGGAAUCAUUGGGCGUAAAGCGCGUGUAGGCGGCCCGGUAAGUCCGCUGUGAAAGUCGGGGGCUCAACCCUCGGAUGCCGGUGGAUACUGUCGGGCUCGAGUACGGAAGAGGCGAGUGGAAUUCCUGGUGUAGCGGUGAAAUGCGCAGAUAUCAGGAGGAACACCUAUUGCGAAGGCAGCUCGCUGGGACGUUACUGACGCUGAGACGCGAAAGCGUGGGGAGCGAACAGG